rnacentral:rRNA from 1 species
CCUACGGGUGGCUGCAGUGAGGAAUAUUGGUCAAUGGGCUUACGCCUGAACCAGCCAAGUCGCGUGAGGGAAGACUGCCCUAUGGGUUGUAAACCUCUUUUGUCAGUGAGCAACGCCGGCUACGUGUAGCCGGACUGAGAGUACCUGAAGAAAAAGCAUCGGCUAACUCCGUGCCAGCAGCCGCGGUAAUACGUAGGGGGCAAGCGUUAUCCGGAUUUACUGGGGGUAAAGGGAGCGUAGGCGGUUUAGCAAGUCAGAAGUGAAAGCCCGGGGCUCAACUCCGGGACUGCUUUUGAAACUGUUGAACGAGAUUGCAGGAGAGGGAAGUGGAAUUCCUAGUGUAGCGGUGAAAUGCGUAGAUAUUAGGAGGAACACCAGUGGCGAAGGCGGCUUACUGGACUGUAAAUGACGCUGAGGCUCGAAAGCGUGGGGAGCAAACAGGAUUAGAUACCCCAGUAGUC